CCGUGGCAAAACUAAAAUUUUCCCGAAAUUUAAUGGCAAUAGGAGAAGCACAGCCAACCGCAAACAAAUUAGGGUAGCAGUUCGGAGAAGCACGCCCGUCCGCGACGAAGGAGAAUCAAACACCAGCAAAGGGCAAUUAGGAGAAGCACAAUCGACCGCUACUAAGGAGAAAGCACAGCACGACCGUCCGCGACUAAGGAGAAUCACACACCAGGGAAGAAACACAGCAAACAAAUUAGUGCAGAAAAAGCAUCCUAAGGAGAAUCAAAACUAAAGCGAGAGGAAAGCUGAUUUGGUCUCUUUGCGUCUGGGAGGGAUGCCUGGUGCAUCUACACUUAGAGACUGCAAGACUUUGGAAAGCAUCAUUAAAAAACAGGCUGAAAGAAAACGAUUAUAUGCUGAAAUAUGUGCCUCCCCUGCAGUAGCUCUUGGAUCGUGGGGACUGUUGAAGGGGCUUAAGGUAAUAAUUUCCACUCAUUGAAUGUGGGUGGUGUGUUGGAUUUUUAAUUUGGAACUGGAAAAGGAGGGGGUUUCUUGCAGCAACAGUCCAAAGCUUUGUUAAGUGGAAGAUGUUGCGGCCAUGGGGUGGAUCUCAAAAUGGGAAAUGAAGCCUUAUGUUGAAACCGACUGGGCAGUAUUAUACACUAGAUGGAUGGGAAAUGCUUGGCUUGGUGAAAUAAAAUAAAUGGAAAGGAUUGGCUUGAAUGGGUUGUUACUGAGUCUAUUUGUUGAUUUGGAGCAAUCUGAGUAUGUUGAAUGGUGGCUGGGUGAGCUAAUGGAAUUAAUUGAAUGAAGAAGAUGGUCCACCUAGCUUGGUGGACCAUUGGAAUAAUUGAUUUACAUAAUGGGAUUGUUUGGUAGAGUUCUGGCAUUGCUAAUGGGAUGAGCUACUGGAAAAUUGUUGGCUUCGACUUUAAUUUGUUUUGCUGCUCUGUCUUUAAUUUGCUUUGCUUUCAAGUGUGGUGAUGUAAAUGCACAUUGGUGAGUGCAAUGUUAAUACUGAUUUUGUCAUUUUUCUG